rnacentral:rRNA from 1 species
CUAGUAAGGUCUUGGGAUCGGCAGGGAGAAAAGGGGCGUGUGGUGCGAUAGGGGCACGACUCUUCCACGAGCGCCGCCGCGAGCAAAAUGUGGCCGCUGCUGCGCUUUAUUAACUCCUAAGACCCGACCUCAAAAACGAGCUACGGCAACUCUCCAAGGGUAACGCCCUCCUCAAGCGGCUGUUGGAACUCGUGGGUCUAGGCUAAGGAGACCAUAACAACGGGUUCACGGGUUGUUGCCCCGACCGGAGGACUUCUGAGCUUACGACCCAGACCGACACGAGUCGUCGAACCCCCGCUACCCUGACAAUCUCUUGCUCAACCCCAGGCGGAGCAGACCUACCGAGAGACUACUUCAGCCGCGUCAGCUGACUGUCAAUUAGGUCUUUGUGGACCGACCCGCUUUUCCACUACCUAUAUGAAGUAAACCUCCUCUAGGCACUCUUUGUAUAUGAGUUCGCUACCUGCUUCUUGCGCUCUCUGUAUGAAGGGGUUGUGGACCACGUCAUGGUCUUCCUGUUAAGUCAAUUGAAUAACAAGUGCACUUCCUUGAGCUACGAUAUGGACUUUCGGUACCUUCAACACGCCUACCCGUUACGCUCACGUCUUAGUAAGCUCGUGUGCAUACGACCAGAACUUCGAAACAACUAAUCACCGUGUGGAAAUCGUCUCUUUUCCCUAUCAAACCCAAAACUCCUGGCAGAUCGUCCAAACCGUGCCCAACUAACGGUCCGGUACCUCUCCAACAUAAACAACCUCGGUUGCCACGCAUGGUUACGGUAUCACGACCCGUGAAACAAUCACACUUACAGGAACUUCCAGAUCGUCGAGGUCUUUUCGUAUCCACCCAGCCGUCUGGUUUUUUUAUCGUCCCUCUUCCACGGCAUACUCCCAGAUUCGUUCGCAUGGUCCAAGACGUCGUAAACAGUUACGCUCCCCUUGUUCACUGAUGGACGGGGCUUUAUCCUCUACGGGGGUUCUUUGGUGCCUUUGGUCCUUUUACGUUCUUGACACCAUACCUUCCCGUGGCGGCGUGUGUGAACGUACUCCGGCGAGCCACGACGACUCUUUACUCAAGGCUCAUAACAGACAUAAACAUGAAGAAAGCUCCUAAAAUAUCACACAAAUUCACUCGUAACGAGGUACGAAUAAGGAGCAAUAGUCUCUGUACUCUGUGAAUAAAACCCUGCCUCCCUCAUACACCAACGGAGUUCCUUUAUCACUAGUGCAGAGUCCAAGUCUGGUACCUGAACAAACGACUUACACAAACUACAACUGUGAAACUAUCGUACGCCCUAUGUUGUCACACAAGCGGG